rnacentral:rRNA from 1 species
UGAGGAAUAUUGGUCAAUGGGCGAGAGCCUGAACCAGCCAAGUCGCGUGAGGGAAGACGGUCCUACGGAUUGUAAACCUCUUUUGUCGGGGAGUAAUAGGCGGGACGUGUCCUGCUGUGAGAGUACCCGAAGAAAAAGCAUCGGCUAACUCCGUGCCAGCAGCCGCGGUAAUACGGAGGAUGCGAGCGUUAUCCGGAUUUAUUGGGUUUAAAGGGUGCGCAGGCGGCGUGCCAGGUCAGCGGUGAAAGCGUGUGGCUCAACCAUACCGAGCCGUUGAAACUGGUAGUCUUGAGUGCAAAUGAGGUAGGCGGAAUGUGACGUGUAGCGGUGAAAUGCUUAGAUAUGUCCCAGAACUCCGAUUGCGAAGGCAGCUUACCAAGAUGUAACUGACGCUGA